GACGAACGCUGGCGGCGUGCCUAAUACAUGCAAGUCGAACGCUUCUUUCCUCCCUAGUGCUUGCCCUCAAUUGGAAAGAGGAGUGGCGGACGGUUGAGUAACACGUGGGUAACCUACCCAUCAGAGGGGGAUAACACUUGGAAACAGGUGCUAAUACCGCAUAACAGUUUAUGCCGCAUGGCAUAAGAGUGAAAGGCGCUUUCGGGGGUCGCUGAUGGAUGGACCCGCGGUGCAUUAGCUAGUUGGUGAGGUAACGGCUCACCAAGGCCACGAUGCAUAGCCGACCUGAGAGGGUGAUCGGCCACACUGGGACUGAGACACGGCCCAGACUCCUACGGGAGGCAGCAGUAGGGAAUCUUCGGCAAUGGACGAAAGUCUGACCGAGCAACGCCGCGUGAGUGAAGAAGGUGUUCGGAUCGUAAAACUCUGUUGUUAGAGAAGAACAAGGACGUUAGUAACUGAACGUCCCCUGACGGUAUCUAACCAGAAAGCCACGGCUAACUACGUG
rnacentral:rRNA from 1 species